UAAUGGCCUACCAAGGCGAUGAUCCGUAACUGGUCUGAGAGGACGACCAGUCACACUGGAACAGAAACACUUUCCAGACUCCUACGGGAGGCAGCAGUGGGGAAUAUUGGACAUUGGGGGCAACCCUGAUCCAGCAAUGCCGCGUGUGUGAAGAAGGCCUGCGGGUUGUAAAGCACUUUCGGUGGGGAGGAAGGCCCAGCGGUUAAUAACCGUUGGGAUUGACGUUACCCACAGAAGAAGCACCGGCUAACUCUGUGCCAGCAGCCGCGGUAAUACAGAGGGUGCGAGCGUUAAUCGGAAUUACUGGGCGUAAAGGUGCGUAGGCGGUUUGGUAAGUCUUUUGUGAAAUCUACGGGCUCAACUCGUAGACUGCAAGGGAAACUGCCGGGCUUGAGUGUGGGAGAGGUGAGUGGAAUUUCCGGUGUAGCGGUGAAAUG
rnacentral:rRNA from 1 species